UAUCAGGUAUUUGGUCACAGAUCUUGUCUCGAUGGCUCUCAUGUACAAAUUUAGAGGUGAAGAAGAAGGCAUCCAUUCUCUAAACCAUGAAAAAAAGCAAGCCUAACUGCAAAGGUAAGAGAGGAGAGAUUUGAUUGGAAAUUUUUUAUGCACGCUCCAAAUGCUUGCAAGGAAGAAGUACCAUCGGAAUGGAAAAAUGAAGAAAACC
rnacentral:lncRNA from 1 species